rnacentral:lncRNA from 1 species
CUUGGGAAGAGGCAGCCUGUUUGGCUAUUUGGUUGGCUAGAUUAUUUCUCCGACUUUCAAAGGAGAGGGUUUUUUUUGGUGUCCUGGGACAUGAACAAUAGCUAUUUCCUCAGGAAGCUGGAGAUUAUCUAAUACUUGUAUUAUUAACUCUUUGUGAACUAGGUUUUUUUUUUUUUUUUUUUUAGAGACGGAGUCUCACUCUGUUGCCCAGGCUGGAGUACAGUGGUGUGAUCUCGGCUAACUGCAAGCUCCACCUCCCGGGUUCACGCCAUUCUCCUGCCUCAGCCUCCCGAGUAGCUGGGACUACAGGCACCCGCCACCACGCCUGGCUAAUUUUUGUAUUUUUAGUGGAGACGGGGUUUCACCGUGUUAGCCAGGAUGGUCUUGAUCUCCUGACCUUGUGAUCCAUCUGCCUCGGCCUCCCAAAGUGCUGGGAUUACAGGCACAAGCCACCACACCCGGCCUUAUGGACUAGGUUUUGACCUUUACUGUUAGUAAGGCCUCAUUCAGUCCAGAUUUUUCCAAAGGUAUAUACUACUCCAAAGGCAUAUUUGGAGUCAGUAUAAAUUGUUCCCUCCCGAUUUUGUAAAAAUUUUAAGGCUUGAUUUAGAGCAAUUAGCUCGCACGUCUGUGCGGACCAGUCAUUGAGUAAUCUUCCUGAUUCUAUUUCUGUGAGGGUAUCUCUGUCAACUACAGAGUAUCUGUAAUCCCUUUUUCCUUCUAUUACCUGGGAGGAACCAUCUACAAAAAGAUGUUUCCCUGUUUGAAAAGGAGUUUCACAUAAGUCUAGUCUUAACUUUGGUUUGGUAACUAAUUAGGUCUAAAUAUUUAUGCUCAGGUUCCAUUGGUUGUGGGUUCCCUGUUACCUUUUGGUUUGGAUUCCUGGUUAGAAAAGCAGCUGGAUUUAGAGAAUUGUCAGUGGUUAGUGUCAGGUCAUCUCUCUCUAGCAGGAUAGCUUCAUAUUUUAAAAUUCUUGAGUCAGCGAGCCACCUUUCUGCCUUUUGGUUGAGGAUAGUUCUGACUUCGUGAGGUGUGCUAACAAUGAGUUUUCCCCCAGAGGUUAAUUUUCUGCUUUCCUCCCUGAGCAAGGCUGUUGCUGCCAGUGGCCCCCAUGCUCUUGGGUGAGUACCCCUAAAGCCACUCCUUUGCUUAAUACUGACAAAAAGAUGGAAUGGCUGUUCUAGGGAGGGUAAAGCUAGAACAGGGUCAGUCACUAGUAAAUGUUUUAACUUUUCUACUUGUUUGAUUUCUGCUAGAGUUCAGAGAAGGGGGUCUGGCUCUUCUUGGGUGAGUCUUUCAUACAAAGGUUUUGUUUCUAAGGCAUAAGAGUCAAUUCAUUGGCAACAGUAUCCAACCAAUCUCAAAAAUUUUCUGAGCUCUUGUUUUGUUUCUGACACAGGUAGGGAUAUGAUACCUUCAAUCCAUUCAAAGCCAAUUCUCUGCCUUUUGCUUUUGCCUUUCCUCAUCCCUCCGUACAUAUACAUUUUCAUUCUCUUUAAAAGCUCUUCUAUGGGAUGGUCUUUCCAAUUUUCUAUCUUUCGUAAUUUCUUUGUAAUAUCUGGUGACAAAACGGAGCUCUAACAUUCCUCAUCCAAGGGGGUUUUCUAAUUCUAGGCCAGCAUAUUUCCUCCUUUGCUCUUUAAGCCUCUCUAAGAAUUCCGUAGGUCCUUUAUCCUUUCCCUGUUGUAUAUUAAAAGCUUUGGUAUAUUUUGAGUUCGAGGAACUGAUUCCCGAAUCCCUUUAAUUAUCCUAUCUCUAAGAUCUCUCAUAUUCCCUCAAUGGGCUACAUUGUUAUCUCAUUGAGGAUCUUGGGCUGGGAACUUUUGUUUAGCUGCAAGGACGUUAUGACUGAGGGGGUGUUCACGUUCCCAAACCGUCAUAGUGCAGAUCAUGCUUCUUUCCUCUCCCGAAAAGAGGAUGCCUAGGAUGGACAUUAACUCAGUCCAAGUAUACAACUGGGGUCCUAGAAAUUGAUCAAUUUGAUCUGCUACUCCAUAGGGAUUGUCUAAGAGUGGUUUGAGCCCUUUUUAGGCUUCGGACUUCUGAACUGGUUAACAGGGCGUUCACAAAACAAAUGCCCCCUCCUCCUAGAAGCACUUCCCUUAAGGGAAAGAUCGUUGGAGCAGAUUCUCGAGGUAGUGGGGAAAGGAAAGUUUUGGAUAUCUUUUUUACACUGUUCUAUCUCACGUUGAAGUCUUCCUGGGGAAGGGCAUUCAGGCUAGGGAGACCCCAAGUCAGGAUUAUAAGGGGAAGAAACAAAGUGAGCUGGG